CCUGGCGGCAAUAGCGCGGUGGUCCCACCUGACCCCAUGCCGAACUCAGAAGUGAAACGCCGUAGCGCCGAUGGUAGUG
rnacentral:rRNA from 4 species